ACCUAAUGAUGUGGGCAUUUUUGUAAAAGAUCUCUGAAAUGCUCUUAGGUCUCGAAAAAUCGUUCUCCAUCCAACUGUGAGAAGCUGGUGAUAUCUCUCUGCAGCU